CUAGAGUUUGAUCAUGGCUCAGAUUGAACGCUGGCGGCGUGCCUAACACAUGCAAGUCGAGCGGUAACGCGGGAGCAAUCCUGGCGACGAGCGGCGAACGGGUGAGUAAUGCUUCGGAAUCUGCCCAGUAGUGGGGAAUAACCAACCGAAAGGUUGGCUAAUACCGCAUACGUCCUACGGGAGAAAGCGGGGGAUCGUAAGACCUCGCGCUAUUGGAUGAGCCGAAGUCGGAUUAGCUAGUUGGUAGGGUAACGGCCUACCAAGGCGACAAUCCGUAGCUGGUCUGAGAGGACGACCAGCCACACUGGGACUGAGACACGGCCCAGACUCCUACGGGAGGCAGCAGUGGGGAAUAUUGGACAAUGGGGGCAACCCUGAUCCAGCGACGCCGCGUGUGUGAAGAAGGCCUGCGGGUUGUAAAGCACUUUUAGUGGGGAUGAAAAGCUCAGGGCUAAUACCGCUGAGUCUUGACCUAACCCACAGAAAAAGCACCGGCUAACUCUGUGCCAGCAGCCGCGGUAAU
rnacentral:rRNA from 1 species